AUACGUAGGGGGCAAGCGUUGUCCGGAAUCACUGGGCGUAAAGCGCAUGUAGGCGGGAUAUUAAGUCAGGUGUGAAAACUAUGGGCUCAACCUGUAGAUUGCAUCUGAAACUGGUAUUCUUGAGUAUUGGAGAGGAAAGUGGAAUUCCUAGUGUAGCGGUGAGAUGCGUAGAUAUUAGGAGGAACACCAGUGGCGAAGGCGACUUUCUGGCCAAAAACUGACGCUGAGAUGCGAAAGCGUGGGGAGCAAACAGGAUUAGAUGCCCUGGUAGUCCACGCCGUAAACGAUGAAUACUAGGUGUAGGGGGUAUCGACUCCCUCUGUGCCGCAGUUAACACAAUAAGUAUUCCGCCUGGGGAGUACGGCCGCAAGGUUGAAACUCAAAUGAAUUGACGGGG
rnacentral:rRNA from 1 species